CUCUUCUUUGAGGUUGCACUCUGUGUGGUGUGUUCUGUAUAAUAGGGUUCAUGCUUAGCAGCAGAGGUGGGCCUACGUAUAGAGUAGGAUGCACAUGCACCCGCUAGGCUUGAGAAAAACUCUGUAUAUAUAGGUUGUAUAUCUGUAUAUAUACCAGUAAAUUUAACUAAAUAUAUGUUGUACACUCUCAAAGACAAUUGAUUGUGUUGGUGCAAUGGUUGAACUUAUAGCAUAAAAUUUUCUUUUUGGGUAGAGGACUUGAGUUCGAAACCCACCCAACUACAAUUGUUUUAUUGCUCCUUUUCCCAAGUACAAUUUGCAGCAGCAUUAUAGCUGCUCUCUUCCAGACAACAUUGACACACAUAUUAUUUAUGUAUUUUUAAUUUUAUUCAAAAUACAAGUUCUCCUUCAAUUUUAAAUUGCUCCUUUUCCCAAGUACAAUUUGUGCAGCAUUAUUGAUGCUCUCCCCCCAAACAACAUUGACACACAUAUUAUUUAUGUAUUUUUAAUUUUAUUCAAAAUACAAGUUCUCCUCCAAUUUCAAAAGGUAUAAUGCUUAUUUUAUUUUUAUUUUUUAAUCAUUGACUUAUUUUUUAUUUAAAAAUUAGCAAUUUAAAGUUUGAAGGGUUAAAUCCAACGUUUUCUUGUAGCAACCAUUUAGCAAACAAAUCUCUCAGAUUUUUUAUUUUUGAAAAACUCUCUAUUAUUAUUAAAAAUAUAAAAGUGCAUCGUAUUCAAGUACGAUGAAUAACACUCUUUUGUCAUAUUAAAUCAAAUUAAUAAUAUUUAACAAUAUUAAGUUUUCAAAGAACUAUAUGUCGAACUUUGACACUAUCAAUUACUAUGUUUAAAUAUAAAGGCCACCAUCAAGCUCAAAUCCUGGCUUCGCCUCUGCUUAGCAGUGUGUCGAGAAGUGAUCCUGAGUCAAUGUGAUGAAGAAAUUUCACGUUUGAUUAUCGACAUUGAAGAGCUAUGAUAAAUCUGAGAUGACUUUUACGGAAGGAGGAAUUUGAUGGCUUGUGCUCAAACUGGUUCUAGAAAAACUGUUGCUUUCUGGUUUCCCAUCAUAAGUGGGAUCAUGAGGGGCCAAUUUCCUAGACAUCCACGUUCACUUAUGGCAUUUCCUCUAGCUCUUAUUCUCUCUUCAACGAGGGAGCUCUCAUAUCAGGUAAGUUUUUUAGGUUAUUGGUUUGUAUAUACUCUAACAAGAGAAGAAAAUAUGAAGAAGAAUUAAUUUCUUUGUACAUUGAUGUAUGGUUUACUUCAGAAAAUAAGUUUUAUCUGAAGGGUUGAGAGUUAUAUCGUGAUCUGCAGAUUUAUGAUGAGGCUAAAAGAUUUUCAUAUCAAACUGGCGUCAAGGUGGUUGUUGCCUAUAGUGGUCCAAAUAUGGAACAGAUUUCCACCUUCUCAAUAUAUGUGUAGUAGUUUUUCUUUAAUGUUAUCAGUCUAAAAAAAAUGUAGUUGCUUUUCUUUUUAACCUCUUUUCAGGAAAUCUUGUGGGCUCGUAAUAUAAUAUAAGAAUCUGAGGGUGAGGCUUGAGAGAGAUUGCUUCACUGCAUUGUUUAAUGUGCACAAGUUUUAUCUUCCUUUGGUACCAUGUCUUACAUUUUGCCCUUCUUGAUCAAAAAAAACUUUCAUGUGAUUUAUUUCUAACAGUUAUUUUAUGUCAUGACACUAUUAACAACUUCGAGAAUUAGAGAGAGGCGUGCAGAUUAUUGUAGCAACCCCUAGACGGUUGGUAGAUUUACUUGAGAGAGCAAGAUUUUCGUUGAAGAUGAUAAGAUAUUUAGCUCUAAACGAGUCUGACUGAAUGCUUGACAUGGGUUUUGAACCUCAAAUAAGAAAAAUAGUGCAACAGAUGGACAUGCCUCCGCCAGGUGUACAACGACUAUGCUUUUCAGUGCCACUUUCCCAAAAGAGAUUCAGAUCGAAAGAUACAGACAAAUGCAGAAGCUAAUUCUGCUGCACCAGUAGAUCCACCAGAGGUUGAGGAAAAGCAUGGUGUUGUUCCUAAUUAUUUAUGGACUGAUUCUGAUGUCGCUAAAAGGGAAGCUGAGUCUAUGUCAAGGAAAACUCUCCGAGCUAAUGCGGAGAAGUUUGAGUUCCAGGCCGAGGUCUCUUGGCUUAUGGACAUCCUUAUCAACUCCCUUUACAGUAACAAGGACAUCUUCUUGACGAAGCUUAUUUCCAGUGCUUCUGACGGACUGGACAAGAUCAGUUCCCUUGCACUCACUAACAAGGAAGUUCUUGGUGAAGGUGAUAAUACUAAGCUCGAUAUUCAGAUUAAACUCGAUGAAGAAAAGAAAAUUCUUUCCAUUCAUGACAGAUGUGUUGGUAUGACUAUGGAGGAUCUAAGAAAGAGUUUGGGAACCAUAGCUAAAUCUGGAACUUUAAGAGAUUUCUAACAUAACAUUCAAGAGAAAUUUGUUUCUUCAUAGAUUUCUAAAGUUCAAGAGAAAUUUGUUUCCUUUGUAGAUUUUUAACAUUCAAGAGAAAUUCAUUUACUUUAUAAAUUUCCAACAUUGAAGAGAAAUUUGUUUCAUGUAUGAAAAAAUACUAUGAGUGUCUAUGUCUCCCAUCAGGGGGUAAGGGCCAGAAUCCAACAAGGGUUUGGGCCUAAUGUAUUUCCCCACAACCCAUUUACAUAAAUAGUGUAACAAAC